UCAAAACAGCGGCCUUCGGGCCUCGCUGCACCCUUGUCUUUUGUGCACCGUAUUGUUUCCUCGGCGGGCUUGCCUGCCGGUUGGACAUCAUAAAACCUCUUUGUAGUUGCAAUCAGCGUCAGAAAAACAAUAAUUAUUA
rnacentral:misc_RNA from 1 species